AUACGUAGGGUGCGAGCGUUAAUCGGAAUUACUGGGCGUAAAGCGCGCGUAGGCGGUUUGGUCAGUUGGAUGUGAAAGCCCCGGGCUUAACCUGGGAACUGCAUUCAACACUGCCAGACUCGAGUACGAGAGAGGGGGGUAGAAUUUCUAGUGUAGCGGUGAAAUGCGUAGAUAUUAGAAGGAAUACCAGUGGCGAAGGCGGCCCCCUGGCUCGAUACUGACGCUGAGGUGCGAAAGCGUGGGGAGCAAACAGGAUUAGAUACCCCUGUAGUCC
rnacentral:rRNA from 1 species